GCAUAGUGCAGGGGGGCGUGAUUUCACCUAUCUUAUUCAACCUUGCCAUCGAUUCCAUCGCCGACGUGCUACCCCCAGGAGUUUCGUACGCAAUUUAUGCUGACGAUGUCACCAUAUGGGUGCAAGGGCGACGAAUCCCGAAGCUAUUUCGGAAAUUGCAAGAUGCCCUUAACAAUAUUGGUGAGUGGGCUUCAGGCACUGGGUUUACAUUUUCUAGUACCAAGUCUAAUGCGAUCCUUUUCCGACGUGGAUUACGAAGGGUCGACCUAUCAGUGUUCCCUCCUUUGUGCAUCAAUAAUGACCCCAUUCCCAUUGUGGAUGAGGUGAAAUACCUUGGAGUUAUUCUCGACUCCCGAAUGAACUUACAUUCCCAUGUAGAGUAUAUUAAAAGCCGGGUCCAAAAGAGGAUGGCCGUGCUUAAAUGCGUCGCUGCAAAGAGCUAUGGGGCAGACCGAAUCAUAUUGACCCGAAUGUAUAAAGCAAUGAUUCGACCAAUCUUGGAAUACGCUUCAUACAUUAUCGAUGGUCCACACACGCGACGAGUCGAAUCUCUCGAGACUCUUCAGAAUGCAUGUUUGAGAGUUGCAACGGGGGCCUUACGCACCUCUCCUGUUCGAGCAUUGCAGGUUGAUGCCGAUAUUCCCCCGUUAUCUCUCCGUCGCAAAGAGUUACUCCUUCGGUAUUUUCUGAAGGUUUUGAGUGAUGAACACCACCCUUGUCACAGUAUAACAGACUUGACCGCCUCUGAGGAGCUCUACCGAGGAUUAUCAGACCAAUAUCUUCGCAGAAUUUCUGGAUUCACGGUGUGCUUACGCCUCCAGCGCAUGAUUGCCGACUUCGAUUAUGAACCACCGACAGGCCUUGUCAAACCCUCAGCGCCUUUGGCACCGUGGAUUCUGCCGUGUGUCACGACGCGCCUGCUAACUAACCAGGAUAAAGCGAGCCGCUCCACGAUAGACGUGCAGGCCGAGUUUCAGACUCUUAUCAGCGAGUACCCUGGAUAUCGGAUACUGUACACAGAUGGAUCCAAGCGGCAUGAGUCGGUGGCUUGUGCAUUCACCAUUAACAAUGCUUUCUUUUCGUUUAAGUUACCGGAAGGUCUUUCUAUUUAUACAGGCGAACUAGUAGCUAUACUAGAAGCCCUGAAGUUUGUCUGCACCCAUCGCAUUCCACGUUCCUUGAUAUGCACCGAUUCUCAAUCGGCUGUGAAAGCGUUAGGCAUGGCGCACGGCACCACGAGGCACCCGUUACUUACCUCUAUAUUAGAAUUAAACCAUCGCAUUGCCGAGGAUGGAAUGAGGUGCAUUCUUAUAUGGGUACCGGGACAUAGCGGUAUAGCUGGAAAUGUGCGAGCUGACUAUUGGGCCGGGAAAGCACAUGACAAACCAGAGGUUACACCGGUCGCAGUUGGUUAUCGUGAAUAUGUCCCAGAGGUCCGACGGCGCGUUCGAGACCAAUUUGCUACCUUAUGGCAAGAGUUUCGGCCCACUCACCUUAAGACGAUUAAGCCUACCAUAGGAAGGUGGACGUCCGGCGCUCGUGACAGUCGCCAAGAAGAAGUAGUGCUGUGUCGCCUGAGACUUGGCCAUACACUCCUUACGCACUCGCAUGUCAUGGAUCGUGCUCCACCACCGUUAUGUACACCUUGUCGAUGCAUUAUCGAUGUCAAACAUCUCCUAAUUGAUUGCCCUCAAUAUCGCACGACACGCCAACGUUUGCGACGAACAUGUGGAGAUGCUGGUCUCCCGUUCACAAUUGCGACUCUGCUCGGUGAUACAGAACCUAAUGUAUUGGACGCAGUGUUUCUUUUCUUGCGCGAUUGUGAGCUGCUUGACAAACUGUAAAUGCGGCGGGUUCUAUUGAUAUUCCGGAAUUGACAGUACUUCUAACAACUGUGUAAUGUUUGAUUGGCGGCUACUUACUUGCCGCCCCCACUGAUGAUGUUACUUUUGCCUGUUUUUGUGUGGUGAUUCUAGGCUUUGGAAACUUUCUUUCGGUGUGUUUUGAUUACUGAUUCGUCUCUGUGGAGGUCUAAUGUGAACGGUACGGGAGGUCUAAGUGAAACAACAGUGCACUCUGAGCACAUGUCCUCUGUGGUUCGUGUUUUCUAUUCUCUCUUUUAUUUUAGUAUUUGGUAGUAUAUAGCUAGCUCGUAGAGUGGUCUGAAUUUCUCUCGCUCUCUCUUUCUCUGAUUACCUGGUAACACUCUGACUAGAAGAGUAUUGAUCUUUCUUUCAUCAUUUUGUAGAUUGCUGCCCAAUCAAACUAACACUAACACUGCUACUCAGGUCUGUUCCUUCUGGCUUAAUCCUUCCCCGGCAAUUUCCUCCCCUGGCAUUUGUCCUUCCCUAGGUUUUUUCCUUUUCCGGCUACCCACAACCCUGCUUAGUUACCGCUUAGUACCUACCAACCCCGACACUACAUCGUGGAAGAUCGGACAGUUGAAUGCAAGAAACGAAGAAGUUGGACGCUAGGGCCUGACGGCUGCGCGCCCUAACCCACAAAGAAGAAGAAGAAGAAGAAGAGACAAGAACGAAAAGUGAAUAGAAUUCUAUUUUUCGUCAAAUUUCCACCGAAGUUGGAUAGAGGAAGGCGUCUGGCACACUGCUCCACUGUCCUUAAUUGAAAUCGUCUUGCAAAUAUUGCCUUCUCUGAAUGAUUCACUCUCAUUGCUGUUACAUAAUUGGCCAAGGAAGAUUGUCUUGUUUUUUUGUGAUAACUGAUUUUCAGUUAUGAUGCUGAGUAGAUGGAAAUCGUUUUCCUCAUGCAUCUAUGGUGCAGCAAAGCAAAGUGUUUGCAGCUCAGUGAAGACAAGAGGUCUUUCUGUGACACCUCAGAGGCUUGAGUACUCAGAGCACAAUGAAGACCAGAAGACCACAGUCACAUUCCUCAACAGGGAGAUGGGAGACAUGAUCAGUGUGGAUGGAAUCAGCCAGUAUGGAUUUCACCUGAACUCUGGUGUGGUGGUGCUGGGGCCGAUGGCCGUCUUCCCGCGCACGGUGCUCGGUUGGAACGUACCCUCGGCAUCGCACAUCACGCCCGCCUCGCUGGCGCUGUUCGCCAUCCUGGAGCCGCGUCUGGACUGCCUCGUCAUCGGCACAGG
rnacentral:misc_RNA from 1 species